CAAGCGUUUGAACGUACUAAACACAUACCGAGAAAUAUGGUAAAUCGGUAAGCCUAGUACCUGAGUGAACCUGCCCGCAGACUUUACCCCUCACGCGACCUGAGACGAGGUCUCCCAUUCCGGUUAUGGUGGGUACAAGUGCGGCCACUGCACGACGGCCAGUCGGGGUCAGUGGGGCAUUGUACGCCAAGGCGGUGAGCCCUGUUCUGUUGCCAGGGAAUCGAUGGGGACGGUUGAUAUGUGUGGGGACGGAGUGCCCCUACAUGUCGUGUGUUUAGGUUUACCUUGCAAGGUUUAAAAACUCGAUUCGAAUCGUCUGCUUCUCGCAGCUAAUGAGACUGCUUGAUCCAUGCUGCUACAUUGAGUAAUAAGUGGAAAUGAGGUGACUGGCAAAAGAUGUUGAUUGAUAAAAUGUUUGAUACCAUGUAUGAUUAGCUAGGUACACAUCUAGUCUAAAGGAUUCUACUAAAACUUGAAAAGCUAAAAUUUGUUUUUAGACUCAGCUAGUGCUUUUGGCAAACCAAACCCCUCAGCCAAACAGCUGCAUGUCUAGAGGUAGAGGAGUAGACUCCUCACACCGGGUAAGUCUAGCUGAGUAUUAGUAUACUCAGCCUUGCUUGUGGCAAAAUUUUUGCAGGUACUCCUUAGGAUGAUUGGUUGAUGGUGUGACUUGGCCUUCAUCCCUGCCACCGGGAUAGAUGGUCGAGAGGGUUAUUGCUUCCGCAGGAGAGGACCAGGAGGAGUAGCGUGGCCAGGCUUCGCCAUGUUACUCGGUUUUCUCUGUUAGUUAUUUCCGCUGCAUUAAAAUUUAUGGUGAUUAUUUCUGAAACUCCGAUAAUGUAAUCACUAAUGAUACUGAUUAAAUUUGUGGUAUUAUGUUUUAUUGUAUUUCUCUGUGCCUCACCUUCGUGUGAGCUAGUGGUAUUCGAUCCUGGAUAAGUGGCUUUAUCGGACUAGAUCCGAGGGACUGACGAGUUAUUCCUGUUUAAGUGUGUUGCUGCCCUUAAGGGUGCGACUUGGGCACUUAAGCUGGAAUAAUUCGGGCGGUUCCGCCACAGCUGGUAUCGGAGCGAAUACCAUCACAGAGAAGUCAAUAAGUCAUGAUUACCAACCUUUUCUAAAGUAAAACUUGCUUAGAAACCAAAGUUGGAUAGAUCGUCAGGACGAUAAGGAUAGACCUAGGACGUGAAGCCCUAGGAAUAGAUGGGUAGCUAGGUGGCUAGUUAUUUAGGCCAUAAAGGCUACUACUACUAUUAAUAAGGAUGCUGUAAAAGCACCCGAAAAAUUAAUUAGGUCUGAGAAGACGACUAGAAUGAGCAUGCAUCAUGAUUGUCGCAUUAUGAUUGUCAUUUGUGCAUCAACAUGCUUCUCUUACCUUUAUUCCAAUAAUAAAAACUUGUGAAUAAUGUGAUGUAUGGCUAUGUUAGAAAUGUCUUACCUCGUGUCAGAUUGGUAAGUCUAGUUAGGUCGUGCUAUGUGUUUCUCUUGUCUCGCUAUCUAGGUGGUAUUGUAUUUGUUCAACCCUU
rnacentral:lncRNA from 7 species